rnacentral:rRNA from 1 species
UACGUAGGGUGCUAGCGUUGUCCGGAAUUAUUGGGCGUAAAGGGUGCGUAGGCGGUCUGAUAAGUCAUCUGUGAAAUCUAUGGGCUCAACCCAUAGUCUGCAGGCGAAACUGUCGGGCUUGAGUAUGGGAGAGGUGAGUGGAAUUUCCGGUGUAGCGGUGAAAUGCGUAGAUAUCGGAAGGAACACCUGUGGCGAAAGCGGCUCACUGGACCAUUACUGACGCUGAUGCACGAAAGCUAGGGGAGCAAACAGG